CUUCGCUAUAUCUCGACACCUGUGCCGUUUGGCCGCGGGCAACAUUUACAACCAUAUAGUCCUGAAUGUAACUCCUAUAAGAAUGCCACUUUCGCCAACGGAUCUCUUGGCUCUCGACAUCAAUGAAGAACGCACCGAAAUGCGAUAAGCAAUGUGAAUUGAAGAAUUCCGUGUAUCAUCGAAUCUUUGAACGCACAUUGCGCUCUUUGGUAUUCCGAAGAGCAUGCCUGUUUGAAUGUCAUAAAACCUUCACCCUUCUGGUUUUCUCAGUAUGGGUGGUUGUGGAGCGCUCCCACUUUCACGACUGGCUUGCCCCCUAUGGAUUUCUGGACGAUAUCGCGGUAAGUCUGCACUUCCCCCCUCUCUAAUAAUACCUUUUUAAUCUGACCGCAUAAGACGCGCGACUACCCGCUUAACUUCAGCAACUCAGUCAGCGUAGGAAGUAAACGCUUCCCAGUGAGCUUUAGGAAGAACGCGUCGAGUUGGCCGGGCACAAGGACCCACUCACCCCUAAAAUUUCUAUAAAGUUGACGAAGGAUCAAGUAGGAAUACCCGCUGAACUUAAGCAUAUCAAUAAGCGGAGGAACCUGGGGACUUUUUGGCAGUUAGGGCUCUGAUAGAGUGGGACCACCC
rnacentral:rRNA from 1 species